UACGUUAACAAGACGACUGCCCUGAACCCGAGCCUCGCCGUAAGGCGAGAAGCGAGUGGUUCAGGGAGGAAAGUCCGAACACUCCUCACGCAAGUGAGGGAAAGGAGAGUUGCUAACGGCAACCGGGAGUAAGACAUCCAAAGAGUCCUCGCGAGUUUUUGGAUGGACCAAGCCCAGGGCCAGUGCAACAGAAAAUAUACCGCCGAUGGCUUCGUCGCAAGACGAGGAACAGGUAAGGUUGAAAUCGUGAGGUAAGAGCUCACGCGGGUAUGCAGUGAUGCAGCCUGUGGUAAACCCUCUCCGGUGCAAGGCCAAGUAGGUCCCGCCAAGGCGGGACGGGUUGGCUGCAAGAGGCGUGCAGCAAUGUACGUCCUAGAGAGAUAGUCGUCGCGUGAAAUCUGCGACCCCUCGACGGGCUCGGGGUUCUGCGAACAGAAUUCGGCUUAUCAGUUAACGUCGGCA
rnacentral:RNase_P_RNA from 1 species